GACGAACGCUGGCGGCGUGCUUAACACAUGCAAGUCGAACGGAAAGGCCCUGCUUUUGUGGGGUGCUCGAGUGGCGAACGGGUGAGUAACACGUGAGUAACCUGCCCUUGACUUUGGGAUAACUUCAGGAAACUGGGGCUAAUACCGGAUAGGAGCUCCUGCUGCAUGGUGGGGGUUGGAAAGUUUCGGCGGUUGGGGAUGGACUCGCGGCUUAUCAGCUUGUUGGUGGGGUAGUGGCUUACCAAGGCUUUGACGGGUAGCCGGCCUGAGAGGGUGACCGGCCACAUUGGGACUGAGAUACGGCCCAGAAUCCUACGGGAGGCAGCAGUGGGGAAUAUUGCACAAUGGGCGGAAGCCUGAUGCAGCAACGCCGCGUGCGGGAUGACGGCCUUCGGGUUGUAAACCGAUUUGGACUGUGAUGAAGCGUGAGUGACGGUAAUGGGUAAAGAAGCACCGGCUAACUACGUG
rnacentral:rRNA from 1 species